ensembl:lncRNA
AAUGUUUGGAUGUCCCUGUUGGGCUCAUGGACUAAAAGGAUUUGAUAGCUUCAAUCCAAGAUCUUUUCCAUCCGUCUCAAUGGCAGUUGAUUCAGGAACCCCACGAACAUGUGAUCUGAAAUUUGUCAUCUUUUUUUUUUUUUUUUUGAGACAGUUGCUUAAGUCGAAAGAGGGGGUGAUGUUUAAAGAAGCUUGCCACAUUUUUAAUGUAUCUAGUUGGUUCUCCAUUAACUGUGACUAAUUAGAAACCCAUCUGAUGGAACUGAAACUCACUGAUAUUUGUGACUGUGUUUGUGCUUUCUGUUUUAGCUGAAUGACAUUAACAAGCUACAGGUUACAUAUUAAGUUCAUGUGUUGAUGAAACACUAAAAACACAGCUGUAGUUUCAGCAGGAGUUGGGAUUUAGCCAUAGUUGGUAAAAGUGGAUUGAGAGAAGUUAAUUCAGGCUAAUCUUUGCCCUCCAAACUGUAAGAGAAGAGUGUUGGGGUUAAUCAUGUUAGGACCGGUCUGACAAGAGAUGUGCUCAAUGAAAACACAGCAAAACACAGGACCACAAAUCACUGGACUGUACUUCCUUUUCUGAUGGCAAACUCAAUCCAAACACACCAGCAGUAUAUUUUUGAACAUGAUUUUAUUUAUGGUUUGUGAUUCAUAUUUUUAUACCACAGGAUGGUUUAUUCAGGUCAUGUCAGCACAUUUUAUGUCAUUAAUAAUAUUUUCCAUAUGAGCUUCCAGUUCUUGCAUUUUCAAUAGUACAAAAGGACAUUUAAAGGGAACCACCCUUUAAUUGUCUGAUCUUGUCCUUUGCUUUUUACAGUAUCUGUGAUGAAAACAAGAGUGAGGUCACCUACUGUAACAUCUAUCUUUGAUCUACCUCUCAUUGAUCUCAGCUUAUGCGCAUCGUUUUGAGUAGUAUUUGAUCAUUGGUGAAUAAGCUCGGAUCAAUGAGGCAAACAUAAAUACAAAACCUGUGCUAAUUGAAAGAAAACAAGUUGACAAGAAGAUUGAUUCCAAGAUUUGGUUAAAAAACAGCAUGAUAAAUUUAUAAGCAGUUUUUGUAGGCUGGUCAUUUUUGACUGGGAACAUCACAGGUAUAACAAGGUGGGAAAUAAUUCAAGUAAACAUACAAAAAUUAUAAAAAGAAUUUCGGAAAGUCAACUUUUGAGCAAAAUCUGUAGGUUUUAGACCACUGUGAUUACAUUAACAAACUUUUUUUUUUU